CCUACGGGAGGCAGCAGUGGGGAAUAUUGGACAAUGGGCGAAAGCCUGAUCCAGCAAUGCCGCGUGAGUGAUGAAGGCCUUAGGGUUGUAAAGCUCUUUUACCAGGGAUGAUAAUGACAGUACCUGGAGAAUAAGCUCCGGCUAACUCCGUGCCAGCAGCCGCGGUAAUACGGAGGGAGCUAGCGUUGUUCGGAAUUACUGGGCGUAAAGCGUACGUAGGCGGUUAUUCAAGUCAGAGGUGAAAGCCUGGAGCUCAACUCCAGAACUGCCUUUGAAACUAGAUAGCUAGAAUCACGGAGAGGUUAGUGGAAUUCCGAGUGUAGAGGUGAAAUUCGUAGAUAUUCGGAAGAACACCAGUGGCGAAGGCGACUAACUGGACGUGUAUUGACGCUGAGGUACGAAAGCGUGGGGAGCAAACAGGAUUAGAUACCCUGGUAGUCCACGCCGUAAACGAUGAUAACUAGCUGUUCGGUCUCUACGAGACUGAGUGGCGCAGCUAACGCAUUAAGUUAUCCGCCUGGGGAGACGGUCGCAAGAUUAAAACUCAAAUGAAUUGACGG
rnacentral:rRNA from 1 species